AAGUCGUAACAAGGUUUCCGUAGGUGAACCUGCGGAAGGAUCAUUAACACUUUUAAUUGAUGGUUUUCCUUUUUUCUUUCUUUAACACGAAAAAAAAAGGACAAGCCUAAUCCAAACCAAAUUACCCAAACUUUUUUACAAAGUGCUGGUGUUUUGCAAAAUUCAUUUUUUGCGAAACCAUUUUUUCUUUUUUUCUUUAAACAAAAACCCCAAAUCUUUCAUUGCAAAUGCAAUUGACAAUCUUAAAAAUACAAAAUAACUACUAAUGUAACCAAACAACUCUUAGCAACGGAUAUCUUGGCUCUC
rnacentral:misc_RNA from 1 species